rnacentral:rRNA from 1 species
UACGUAGGGGGCAAGCGUUAUCCGGAAUUACUGGGUGUAAAGGGAGCGUAGACGGCAAUGCAAGUCCGGAGUGGAAUGCGGCAGCUCAACUGCCGAACUGUUCUGGAAACUGUAUGGCUUGAGUGCAGGAGGGGUAAGCGGAAUUCCUGGUGUAGCGGUGAAAUGCGUAGAUAUCAGGAGGAACACCGGUGGCGAAGGCGGCUUACUGGACUGUAACUGACGUUGAGGCUCGAAAGCGUGGGGAGCAAACAGG